UACGUAGGGUGCGAGCGUUAAUCGGAAUUACUGGGCGUAAAGCGUGCGCAGGCGGUUUUGUAAGUCUGUCGUGAAAUCCCCGGGCUCAACCUGGGAAUUGCGAUGGAGACUGCAAGGCUAGAAUCUGGCAGAGGGGGGUAGAAUUCCACGUGUAGCAGUGAAAUGCGUAGAGAUGCGGAGGAACACCGAUGGCGAAGGCAGCCCCCUGGGCUAACACUGACGCUCAGGCACGAAAGCGUGGGGAGCAAACAGG
rnacentral:rRNA from 1 species